UCAGUUUUUCCUCUAUUAGCUGUUUCUAGCAGUUAUACUACCUUGACUAAUGAACAGUUUUCCCUCUAUCAUAUUUGCUUGAUAGUUGUCAAAGUGUUGUGAAAUUGAAAAAAUAUAAUUUUACUCAUUUCUAACAGAACAUGGCAAACCGUGAAUGGAUGUAUAGUGGCUGGUCUCAUAGGCUGCCUCCCUCUCAUGAAUGGAUUGAAAACACAAGCAAUUUUUUAGAUCGUGCAUUCUCCAUGCUAAGUCUGGUUGAAAAUGACACCAUUAAGUGCCCAUGUGCCUUGUGUCGAAACUAUGUUAGGGACAAAAGGUUUAAUGUAGAGAUCCACUUGUGUAAAAAUGGGUUUAGUGAUGACUACAGAAUAUGGACAUCACAUGGAUAGAGUCAUGUUGAAGUUGGAAGUGAUGAGAGUUCUGCUGAAGCUGAUCGCAUGGAUGACAUGUUAGCUGACCUAGGUGGUUACCAUGCACCAACAAUUGAUGAGGAGCCUACAGCCUCAGCCUGUGCAUUUUAUAGGAUGGUUGCUAGUGCUGAUCAACAAGUCCAUGAGAACACAGCACACACAUAUCUUUCUGCGGUUGCACAUUUGCUAGCUUUGAAAUCACAGUAUAACAUGUCAGUUGCACACUUUGAAGCAAACUUAGACUUAAUCAGUGAACUUCUGCAUCCUGAGUCUAUGAUUCCUAAGGACUUCUACCAGUCAAAGAAAUUAAUGGAGGGUUUAGGUAUGCCAUAUGUGAAAAUUGAUGUGUGCUAUAACAACUACUUGCUUUACUAUAAAGAGAAUGAAAAUAAAGAAUGUUGUGAUGUUUGUGGUACCUCACGCUAUGAGGAAGGCCAUAAUAGAAGCCCACGAAAAGUAUUGCGGCACCUUCCCCAUCAAAGAUAGACUACAAAGAUUGUAUGCCAAUGAAAAGACAGCAAAGCUGAUGCAGUCUCACAAGCAGUCCAGAUCUGGUAAGAUGUCGCACCCAUGUGAUGGGGAAGCAUGGCAACAGUUUGACAUAGACUUCCCAGAAUUCGGCAAUGAUCCUAGAAAUGUGUGCCUUGCUGUGGCGACGGAUGGUUUUACACCCUUUAGUAUAAAUGCAGCUCCGUAUUCAUGUUGGCCUGUUUUUGUCACUCCAUUGAAUCUUCCUUCUGGUGUUAUCAUGAAGUCAGAGUACAUAUUCCUUGCCCUUGUAAUCCCUGGUCCUGAGCAUCCAGGAAAGAAAUUAAACAUACUAAUGCAACCUUUAGUGGAUGAACUACUAAGCCUGUGGGAGGGGGUCGAUGAAAUAUGGGACGCUUCAUUCAAGCAGAAGUUUAAAAUGCGUGGAGCUUAUUUAUGGUCAAUACAUGAUUUCACUGCCUAUGGUAACUUUUCUGGAUGGAGCACUCAUGGUAGGCUUGCAUGCCCAGCAUGUUUGUGUGACAGUAAAGCAUUUCAGUUAUGUAAUGGUCGCAAAGCAUGUUGGUUUGAUUGCCAUAGGCGCUUCUUACAUAGAGACCAUGAAUUCAGAUCUCAAGUUAAUGCAUUUAGGAAGAAUACGGUGGUGCAUGAAGAGCCUUCAAGACUGUUAACAGGGGAGGAAGUCCUAGCCCAAAUUAACACAUUGGUGGCUGAUACAAAAAACUAUGGUAUAUUGCACAAUUGGACCCAUUUUAGCUGCUUUUGGCAACUUCCAUAUUUUCAUAAAUUGUUGCUGCGUCAUAACAUCGAUGUGAUGCAUAAUGAGAAAAAUUUGGGUGAAGCUAUAUGGAAUGCAUGCUUUGACAUACCUGACAAGACUAAGGAUAAUGCUAAGGCUCGAAAAGAUUUAGCUGAAAUUUGCAACCGUCCCUCACAGCAUUUGAAGCUAAAGCCAAAUGGCAAUUGGGAAAAGCCUAGGGCCUUAUUUUGCAUUGAUAAGAAUGACAAGCCAGCAAUCCUUAAGUGGUUUCAAGAACUCAAGUUUCCUGAUGGCUAUGCAGCCAACAUUAGAAGAGGGGUGAACUUGAAUUCAAGGAAGAUAUUUGGGCUAAAGAGCCAUGAUUACCACAUCUUCAUGGAACGAUUACUUCCUGUUGCAUUUCGUGGCUUUCUUCCAGAAAAUAUAUGGAUGUGUUUGGCUGAGCUAAGCUUUUUCUACCGGCAAUUGUGUGCCAAAGAAUUGAAGAAAGAUACCAUAUGCUCACUGGAACAGCAAGUUGUUGUUCUUCUUUGCAAAAUGGAGAAGAUAUUUCCUCUAGGUUUCUUUAACCCUAUGCAACAUCUGAUUGUUCAUCUUCCUUAUGAGGCUAGACUAGGAGGUCCUGUCCAACCCUGUUGGAACUAUCCAUUUGAGAGGAAAAUCCAACAACUUAGGAAAAAAGUGUGAAAUAGGGCUCGUGUCGAGGGUUGCAUCAUCGAGGCUGAAUUAGUUGAGUAGGCCACAAAUAACCUAGCUCUUUAUUUUAAGCCCCAGGCCCGAUCAGCUAGAAACAAAAUUCCUUGAUACGAUGAUGGUUCUUGCACCUUUGAAAGUUUAUGCAACCUUCAAAUCUUUCAAUACCCUGGCCGGUGCAUUAGCCCCCGGGGUGUUUGUGCACUCUCAAUAGAAGAGUAUGAGGCUGCUUUCCUAUAUGUUUUGACAAACAUACCGGAGAUGGACGAACAUUUCAAUAAUUUUGAGAAGGAACAGUGGAAGAGCAGAAAUAGACCAACACCUGAACAGCUAAGGGACUUAAGGUUAAAUGGAUGGAGGAGUGCCCGAGGAAAACAUGGGCCUUGUUUUUUUGAGUGGUUCAAAGAAGAAUGCAUGCAGACAACUGGAAUUGAUACUGCACUAUGUCAACUAUCCUAUGGUUUUCGUAGAAGAGUAACCAGCUACGGGUGCUAUGAUGUGAAUGGAUAUAGAUUUCGUUCGAAGGAGCAUGAGAGAACUAAAUCAGGAUUAGCAACAAUUAAUAGUGGUGUUUCUGUUUGUUGUGUUGAUAAUGACGACAAUGAGAUGGAGUACUACGGUGUUAUUAAGGACAUCAUAAAAAUAAAAUGGGAAGGGAGUUUACAACUAGUGCUGGUUUUGUUUGAUUGUGAUUGGUUUGAUCCGACACCUAGUGGAACCAGACGUACUGAAAAAUUGGGACUGGUGGAGAUUAAGCAUGCUGCUAGGCUGUCUGUUUUUGAACCUUUUGUUAUGGCCAAGUUAAACAAGUGUACUACUUACCUUAUGCCUAUAAGAGUAGAACAGAUCUACAGGAGUGGGGGGCUACAUAUCAGGUCACGCCCUGAUACAAACAGUACAAGAAGUGUUAUUAUUUCGAGAGGAGGGAUUGGAGGGAACAUUUGUCAUUGAUUUGGACAUUGAACUAGAUAAUACAACUCCAGUUGUUUCAGAUGAGAUAUCUGAUCCUAAGGAUUUGGAAUAUUUGUACAAUUCAUGUUUUGCAUAUGGAGGACAUUUAUAUUGUUUGGUGGCAGAAUGCCAAUAUGAGUUGCAGCAGUGAAAAGGUGGCUUCCUGUUGACUAGAAAUGCCAGUCUUAGAUUAAUUCCAUGGUAAGGUAGCUAUGAUCAGUUUGACUUGGUUAAUUCCCCUUAGUUUUGCGUGGCAAAUACACUAUAAUUCUUCUGCUUGUAUCCUUAAAACUUUAAGUAUUGUGUUCAAAUCAAUUAUAGCUGUGAUCUACUGCUAGGUUCCUUUAUUUCAGUUAUCUUUUCAUUGAUUGGUCCAACCUUUUUGAGUCAGUAGAAAAAAGUAUCUCUGAUCUAUCUAUUCUUGCUAUUUUGGACUGUGAUCCUUUAGUUGAUGCCCCUUGUUUGGCUGGGAGUUAAGCACUGCACCUGAUACAUGUUUACUCAGAUUAUAUGCUGGCUCACAUGAUACAUACAGAAAUUAAAAAAUAUUGAUUUUGCAGACUGUUGGAUCGUGACAUGGAGUCUCUCACUCAGUUGAUGACAGGCGCGAUGAAAGUGAUGAUGAUGACGACAGCUACAAUGAAAGCAAUGACGACGAUGAUGCCUACUUUGAAGGAAACGUUGAUGCCAGCCCCUACCUAGGAGAUGUUGAUGGCGAGCAACCCGUCGAAGGAGAUGCUGAUGAGGAGGAAGACAUCAAAGGCGAUCCAUGAUAAGCAUGACUGUGGCAUUGACUGUGAACUCAAGUCCUGAACUGAAGCCAGCAACUCCUAGCUACUGAUUGCAGGAUGUGAUGUUGACUUUUAGUCUAUUUUGGUAGAGUAACAUCUGAUGUGAGCCUGAUCUUUGGUUAAUGUAUUUUGUGCAUGUGGUGAUGACAUGUAGGCAUGAUACAGUAUUUGCCAUCUAGAUUAUGUUGGAAUAUUUAGGCUAGAUCCAUUUAUUUAAAUGAUAAAUUAAGAAUUAAAACACCCAUGAGUUAAUGUUGUGGAGUUAAGAAGAGAUUAAUACCUUCUGAGUAAUUGAAGAGAGCAAGGGCUGGAUUAUAAAUGGUGAUUAAAAUGAA